rnacentral:rRNA from 1 species
AUUGAACGCUGGCGGCAUGCUUUACACAUGCAAGUCGAACGGUAACAGGGAGCUUGCUCCGCUGACGAGUGGCGAACGGGUGAGUAAUGUAUCGGAACGUACCCAAGAGUGGGGGAUAACGUAGCGAAAGUUACGCUAAUACCGCAUACGAUCCAAGGAUGAAAGCAGGGGACCUUCGGGCCUUGUGCUCCUGGAGCGGCCGAUAUCUGAUUAGCUAGUUGGUGAGGUAAAGGCUCACCAAGGCGACGAUCAGUAGCUGGUCUGAGAGGACGACCAGCCACACUGGGACUGAGACACGGCCCAGACUCCUACGGGAGGCAGCAGUGGGGAAUUUUGGACAAUGGGGGCAACCCUGAUCCAGCAAUGCCGCGUGAGUGAAGAAGGCCUUCGGGUUGUAAAGCUCUUUUGUCAGGGAAGAAACGGUCCAGGCUAAUAUCCUGGGCUAAUGACGGUACCUGAAGAAUAAGCACCGGCUAACUACGUGCCAGCCGCCGCGGUAACAC